AUCUUGAAUAUAAUACGCGUAUUUCGCCCAACCAUUGCUAGGUGUAUUAGUAGUUCCACGUCUUCAGCUAGAUGACCGUGAGCGGCUUUUGUCAUCGAAAUUCGUAUUGGCUAAAGACGACGAGCAGCUGAUGAAAUAUAGUGACAAAGAUCUCAUGAAUUUCAUUUAAAAACUGUGUGUCGAGGGAGGGCACUUCUCAGGCUUGUGUAAGUGGGUGACAUGGACGCUAAAUUAUGCAACGUGUUAUAGUGUCUGCGUUUGUGCAAUUGAUGACGAUACUGGAUGGGUCUACAAGAUUGAUCUCGGCACAUAAGCUCAACUAAUAUUAAACAAUGUUCGUUACACAAGCCUCGAUGGCCAUACUUUGUGGAAUUGCAACGAGCCCUUGGCGACGCGUCGUUCCAGGUGCCGUUCAUAGCGUCGACUUUUCAGAAAUCGACAAAUACGGAGUUCACAUUUACCAGAUUACUCUCAAAAAAGAACAGGAGAAACACGAAGCUUGCACAAGGAAGGACGUGGCUAAAUUUCUUAAUUUGUCCAAAUCAGAAAGUGUAAUGGUGAAAGAGGUUGAGUUGUCAAUGUCAGUCCGUGAUAAAAGGGCAUAAUCACUUCUCGUCUACACAUCCGCAGUGCGCCUCUAUGCGUUCUUCUGAUCGUUAUCAGAGAGACACGCCUAAUGUAACGUCCGUGAACAUGGUCCGCAGGUUUCCUAUUCACCUGCGUCGCUUCAAAUGUAGACGGCCUGAUACUUCAACAUUUUGCCUUUAAUAUUCACAAACUAUCUGAAAUAAGCUGCAAGAUUUCAAUGGCAAGCGUACACUUCCCUGGUCUACUAUGCACAUUGCAUAUUGCAAAUGUUGAGGUGUCAUUUCAUUUGGGGCUUCGCUGCACAAAAAUGGACGCGUUACAGGUUGGAGAACACACAUUCUGAUAGAAAAGGC